AGUGAACGCUGGCGGUAGGCCUAACACGUGCAAGUCGAACGGCAGCACAGUAAGAGCUUGCUCUUACGGGUGGCGAGUGGCGGACGGGUGAGGAAUACAUCGGAAUCUACUUUUUCGUGGGGGAUAACGUAGGGAAACUUACGCUAAUACCGCAUACGACCUACGGGUGAAAGCAGGGGAUCUUCGGACCUUGCGCGAUUGAAUGAGCCGAUGUCGGAUUAGCUAGUUGGCGGGGUAAAGGCCCACCAAGGCGACGAUCCGUAGCUGGUCUGAGAGGAUGAUCAGCCACACUGGAACUGAGACACGGUCCAGACUCCUACGGGAGGCAGCAGUGGGGAAUAUUGGACAAUGGGCGCAAGCCUGAUCCGGCCAUACCGCGUGGGUGAAGAAGGCCUUCGGGUUGUAAAGCCCUUUUGUUGGGAAAGAAAAGCAGCAGGUUAAUACCCCGCUGUUCUGACGGUACCCAAAGAAUAAGCACCGGCUAACUUCGUG
rnacentral:rRNA from 1 species